CGUGAGGUGGAGCGAAUCCCAGAAAUAAACGUCUCAGUUCGGAUUGUAGUCUGCAACUCGACUACAUGAAGCUGGAAUCGCUAGUAAUCGCGGAUCAGAAUGCCGCGGUGAAUACGUUCCCGGGCCUUGUACACACCGCCCGUCACACCAUGAGAGUUUGUAACACCCAAAGCCGGUGGGGUAACCUUUUGGAGCCAGCCGUCUAAGGUGGGACAGAUGAUUGGGGUGAAGUCGUAACAAGGUAAC
rnacentral:rRNA from 1 species